ensembl:lncRNA
AGUUAACUACAAAAUUUGUUGCCUCAUCAGGUUUUUAACUUUCUAACUAAAUUUAGGGCUAAUUAUGAAGAAUUGAAUAUAAUGUAAAAAAAACUCCUCCUAAAAUCUUUGAAAUAAGAGUGAUUAAAAAGCUUCUUUUAUACAAGAAAGUGUUCUUAGACCUGCAGCAUCUCCAGUUGCACCAACUGCUGUUUUGUUUUCCUGUUGUCAUUUGUUUAGUAAGAUGCGGGAUCACAGUGCCAUUUUACUAAGGUAUCUUGCAAAUAAAAACAAAGAUUAGCUGGUUCAUGCCUAUUUUCAACCAGUCUCCCUGCAUUAGUCCCCAUCCUGGAUGAGUUUCCAUCUUCAAGGCCAAGCUAAAAGUUCUAAGCAACAGGUUUUCCUGUUACCUUAGUCCUCAUGAAAUUUUUUUCCCAAGGGAAGUGGGGGAUGUUUUAGCUUAGGAAGAUUAAUUUUCCUCCUGUAGAGUGUGGAGCUCUUUAAUAUUCUUUUAUUCAAUUAACCUUUCCAUUAAGUGGGGCCAUUGGUCUGUUGUUAUUGAUGAGCCUAGAAGAGAAUGGGGUGACUCAGUGCUCCUCGUGGACUUUACCUUUAGUUUUAGAUUUAAUCGUUCGUGCUGAUGCUGUGUUCUGCAGAAGGGCAUCCCUUUUGGUUUGCUAAUGGAUCUGUUCCUCCCAAUUCUUAUCCAAGUUGUUUGUCUUUGUAGAAUAUUCAACCAAAGGUAAUGUAGACAUCAUGUUUUUGGGUUUAGGUUUUCAGAGGAAGAAAUGAUCCACAUAGUCUCCCCAUUAGCUCCCCCUGUGUAGUGCUGAAGGACCCUAGUUAGCAUGACAGGCUCCAUAUUGCUGCUUGACCCACCUGCCUGCCCUUUAGAUGAACUCAGAAGGAGGAAGCUUAAAAACCUCCUCCCCUUAGAAAGUCUCUUUAGAAAUAACAAUUAAUCAACUAUUGUUUUACAAAUUUUCUGCUUCUGUACCUUUUGCUUGCUUUACUGUUCUGUUCCAUGGGGGGCCUAGAAACUGUUGGCCUCAAAGGUGUAUAAAAUAUGUUAAUCUUCCCCCAGUCAGGGCUCGAGUCUGAUGCUUGGCUUGGGUCCCGGCCAGUAAUAAACUCCUGUGUGGAUUUAAUAUCGGUCUUUGUUGGUUCUCUCUCACUGGGUGUAACAUUCUUGGAGGCCCCAGUGAGAUAGCCAGCUGCUCUGGAGCUUAUUAUCUUGGAGCCAUUGUUUCUUUUUAGGAGAGACCAGGAUUGGACAUCAGCAGUGUUUGGUCCCUCUGGACACUGGUCUGUGGAAGGAGAGGCCACCAAGACGGUAUUCCGGGGCUAGGCCACCCUGAUGGUAUUCCAGGGCUCCAGGUAGGCCGGUCCCAGUCGGGCCCUAUUGCUGAUCAACUGACCCUCAGGAGUUUAUCAGGAAAGCCUCUAGAGGUAAGAAUUGAAUGAUUCUUAGUGCAGUGUGGGUAGGUAGGAGGAAGCCGGAUGCCGCACAGGUUCCCUUACCUAGAGUCUAUUCAUGACAGCAAGCAGACUCACUGGGUCCAAGUCCUCAGAAGAGCGACUCCCUGGGUGGGGUCCGAAUCCAUUGGGCCCCAGAGGUUUUACUUGGCCAAAGUUUGUCUUUGUCUGUUUAUUGUUGUCUGUCUGCUUGCUCUGUGUGCCUUUUGCAUUUUCACAGGCUAAAAUUAUGGGUUCCUCACAGUCCACAGAAGGAACUCCACUUGAUUGUGUUUUGAAUAACUUUAAAAAAAUUUAUUCCACAGACAGAGAAGAUGAAUAUGGCAUGAAAUUUUCUAAAGGCAAAUUGCAAACUCUGUGUCAAUCAGAAUGGCCAAGUUUUGGAGUCAGUUGGCCCCCGGUGGGAACUUAUUCUGUGCACAUUGCUCGCAAGGUUUGAAAUGUGGUCACAGGAGUCAGGGCCCCAGAGGUCCCAAUCGACCUUUGGCACUUGAUCAGGACAGGACUACAGUCCAUCAGCCCUGUCUUUCUCCUCCCUUUUUCCUUUAAAACGGAGCCCGGGAGAGGAUUGAUUUAUGUCCCUUUUAGAACUAGUGAUCUUUACAAUUGAAAACAUCAAAAUCCCCCCUUCUCUGAAAAACCUCAGGCAUUAAUCUCUUCUUGAGUCUGUUUUUCAUACCCAUCAACCAACCUGGGAUGACUGCCAGCAGCUUUUACAGAUCCUAUUCACCACUGAGGAGUGGGACCGCAUUUAUCAACAGACAGUCAAAGAGGCCCUUGGUCCAAACCCUGGUGUCAUUCCUGGAACUCUGGGGUAUUCAGCCAGGGCUGAAACAGUGGUUCCAUCAUGACGCCCUGAAUGGUGCCCCAAUGAUGAUGACAGUAGGAGGAGGAGGCUGAGGACCUACCGCCAGCACUUAUUAGGGGGACUCCAGGCAGCAGCCAGAAAGCCCACUAAUUUGAGUAAGGUAAGUGAGGUUCGCCAGGGAAAAAUGGAGUCUCUGGCUGCAUUUUUGGAGAGACUCUUGGAAGCCUAUGGAGUUUUCACUCCUAUUGACCCAGAGGCUCCCGAAAAUGCAGCAGCUUUAAAUCUGGCCUUUGUUUCCCAGUUGGCCCCAGACAUUAGAAAAAAAAUUACAGAAAUUGGAGAGAUUUGAGGGAAAAAAUAGAACUGAACUCCUGAACGUAGCCCAGAAAGUUUAUGGUAACUGUGAUGCCCCCCGAGGAAGUCCUAGCCAAGAAACUGGGGAAAAGUCACUAUUGCUGCACUCCAGACACAAGAGACAGUCCCUCCGGACAGAAAAAGAAAAAGCCUUUCAAGAAAGCCUUAGUGUCAGCACCAGCCCUGACCCUACGUGAUGUCACCAAGCCCUUUCAGUUGUCUGUGGCUAAACGAGGGGGCAUAGCCAAAAAAGUGCUAGCUCAGGCAUUAGGGCCUUAAAACAGACCUGUGGUCUACUGUCUAAAAGACUUGAUCCUGUGGCAAGUGGAUGCUCUACCUGUUUGAGGGCAGUUGCAGCCACCACCCUCCUGGUCAAAGAGACAGAUAAACUCAGCCUGGGACAGGACCUGGUCAUCACCACACCCCAUGAGGUGGAAACAUUGCUGAGAGGAACCUCAGAAUGAUGGCUCUCCAACACUCACCUGACUCAGUACCAGGUCCUGUUGCUGGAUGCUCCAUGCAUCAGAUUUGCCCAAGAAAUGACCCUCAAUCUGGCCACCUUACUCCCGGACUCCCACUCAUAUGCAUGCCCUUCCAUGACUGUGUGGACACUCUGACAACUUCUACCACCAACCGCCCAGAUCUGACUGAUGUUGCACUGCAAAGCCCAGAUGAGACCUUCUUCACCGAUGGAAACAGCUUUGUGGAAGACCGAGUCAGGCCUUACAGAUUCUUCAGAGUGAGAUCCAGGCUACAAUACAACAGGCUCGAGAAAAAAAAAACAACCUUUGCGACGUUCCAGCCUCAUGCUUUCAAGCCAGGAGACCUGGUCCUGAUAUGCUUGGUUUGCUUGCACCAAGGACUUGACUAAAUACAUUCCCAAAUCAGUCUUGGCUACCCAAUCUGCCACUUUAUUUUGUGUCACCGUGUAUGUUGUUCCACAAGUCUUGUAUUAUAAUGGAAAAAGGGGGCCAUGAACAUCUGGGAUUAACCACUGAACACUAUAGGAGUAAAUGGGCUGCCCCCGUUUUAGUGCCCAUUCUGGUGGGAUUAGGAAUAGCUGGGUAGUAGCUAUUGGAACUUCCUCCCUGACCCUUCAGGACACAAAUUUUAAAGCCCUAAGCCACCAAGUAGCCAGAGAUUUGGGUCACCUGAAAGACUUGAUCUCCAGAUUUAAAAAAACCAGGUUGAUUCCCUAGCUGAGAUGGUCCUGCAAAAUCAAAGGGGACUUGACCUCCUGUUUAUAAAACAAGGAGUGUUAUAUGUAGCCCUAGAAAAAAACCUGUUGCUUCUAUGCUAAUCAGUCUGGUGUCAUUAGAGAUACCUUAGCUAUAGUUAGGGAAAAUUUAAAGACUAAAUAUGCUCAACAAAGGGAUCAACAUUGGUUUCAAAAUCUAUUUGACUUGUCCCCACGGUUAACUACCCUACUUUCUGCUGUAGCAGACCCCUUAGUUAUCUUCUGCUUUUGCUCGUGGGAUCUUACAUUAUAAAUGCUCUGACUAAAUAUGUUAGACAGAGGGUUGAUGCAGUUAAACUGAUGGUGUUGAGACAAAAUUAUGAGAUUUAAAACAUGUUUUAGAAAAAAAAUCUGAAAAAUAAAUACAGAAAUCAAAGAUUUGAUUAGGUUACAAGAACCAGUGGGGAAUGAAGGACCCUAGUUAGCAAGACAGACUCCAUAUUGCUGCUUGACCCACCUGCCUGCCCUUUAGAUGAACUCAGAAGGAGGAAGCUUAAAAACCUCCUCCCCUUAGAAAGUCUCUUUAGAAAUAACAGUUAAUCAACUAUUGUUUUACAAAUGUUCUGCUUCUGUACCUUUUGCUUGCUUUACUAGUUCUAUCCCAUGGGGGGCCUAGAAACUGCUGGCCUCAAAGGUGUAUAAAACGUUUGUCUCCCGCAGUCUGGGCUCAAGUCCGAUGCUCAGCUCGGUCCCGGCCAGUAAUAAACUCCUGUGUGGAUUUAAUAUUGGUCUCUGGUUGGUUCUCUCUCACUGGGUGUAACAGUGCAGGUGGUUGCAUUGUUUAAAGCCAACUCCCAUCUGCUCAUGGGGAGAGAGAAAGGUACUGGUGACCACAAAUCGUCUCUCAUAAUGGGUGCCCGCCCAUCAGAAUCAGGAGCAACCAGUGAAGGCUGCAAGCAGUCCCAGUUAGGGAGGGCACACUCUAUAUUUUAAAUUAAUUGAGCCUGGGUUCAGGUUGUGUGCAACGGUUUUAAGUAGAUGGAUGGACAGCAAUGCAAAGCCAUUGGAUGUAGAAAUUGGGCCAGAAUACAUUGGCCAAUGCACCCCACAUGCAAUUUGCACCAGAGUGAC